GACGAACGCUGGCGGCGUGCUUAACACAUGCAAGUCGACCGAGUGGCGAACGGGUGAGUAACACGUGGGUGAUCUGCCUUUCCCUUCGGGAUAAGCUUGGGAAACUGGGUCUAAUACCGGAUAGUGCAAGAUGAGCUCGCGGCCUAUCAGCUUGUUGGUGGGGUAAUGGCUACCAAGGCGCGACGGGUAGCCGGCCUGAGAGGGUGUACGGCCACAGUGGGAAUGAGAGACGGCCCAGACUCCUACGGGAGGCAGCAGUGGGGAAUAUUGCACAAGGGGCGGAAGCCUGAUGCAGCGACGGGGGGUGGGGGAUGAGGGAGUUGGGGAUGAAAAACAGUUUGGACAGGGAUGCGGCAGCAGCAACAGAUGCACCUUCUAAGUACGUGUCAGCAGCCGCGGUAAUAC
rnacentral:rRNA from 1 species